rnacentral:rRNA from 1 species
GAUGAACGCUGGCGGUAUGCUUAACACAUGCAAGUCGAACGGUACCUUCGGGUAUAGUGGCGGACGGUUGAGUAACGCGUGAGAAUCUAUCUUCAGGUCGGGGACAACAGUUAGAAAUGACUGCUAAUACCGGAUGUGCCGAAAGGUAAAAGAUUUAUUGCCUGAAAAAGAGCUCGCGUCAGAUUAGCUAGGAGGUGGUGUAAGAGACUACCUAGGCUUCGAUCUGUAGCUGGGCUGAGAGGACGAUCAGCCACACUGGAACUGAGACACGGUCUAGACUCGGACGGAGGGCAGGAGUGGAGAACUUACCGGAAGGGAGGAAAGUCUGACGGAGCAAUACGGGGGGAGAGAGGAAGGGGGUUGGAUCGCAAACCUAGUUUCGAAAGGAAGAUUCAGACGGUACUUGAAGAAUAAGCACCGGCUAACUAUGUG